UACGAAGGGGGCUAGCGUUGCUCGGAAUCACUGGGCGUAAAGGGUGCGUAGGCGGGGCUUUAAGUCAGGGGUGAAAUCCUGGAGCUCAACUCCAGAACUGCCUUUGAUACUGAAGAUCUUGAGUUCGGGAGAGGUGAGUGGAACUGCGAGUGUAGAGGUGAAAUUCGUAGAUAUUCGCAAGAACACCAGUGGCGAAGGCGGCUCACUGGCCCGUUACUGACGCUGAGGCACGAAAGCGUGGGGAGCAAACAGG
rnacentral:rRNA from 1 species